rnacentral:lncRNA from 1 species
CCACGUGCUUGAAUUCCAAUAACACCAUGUGCUGAAAUUAAACCUAUAAGAUAAAGUCAAGGUUUCUUGCUGCAUAAGGUUUCACCGUUGCUCAUGACGCCAUGGUUAGUUAAUUGUCUUUGAUGAUCUGGUCCUGCAUCACCUUGGCCUGCAUCUGUUUGAUCUGUGCUUGGCUUGCUUAGCCUUGUUUGAUCUGGUCCUGCGUCAGCUUUGUCAGCAUCUGCUUGGUGGUUUGCUUGACUAUUGCUUAAUACUCCACAAGUUGGGAUGUACAUAUUAAGCAUCCCAAGCUUGGAUUGAAUAGAAGCAUACUCCUUUGGUCCUAUAGCCUUAGUGAGAGCAUCUUCUAAC